GCUUAGCCGGCCUGACAUGCGCAGUACGCGGGUGCUGCGGCGGCCGGGAGGUGCCGCGGUCUCGGGCACACCUGGCGGCCUGGGACGCGGAGGAAUUCUUACGAAGUGUGGGGGGAAGAAGCCCAUCAGUAGUUUCCUAGUGUGAUGAAAUGAUUUUGGAAAUUACACUUAACAGCGGAUGGAGCUGACAUCGUGAGAGCCUGCAGCCUGGUGCCUGCGGGGCUGGAGGGCAGCUGGGCCCCUGUAAGGCCCGCGGUCGAGGUGGGUUAGGACGCGGCCCCAAACGGGUGAAUCCGCUCUGUGCCCGGUCGUCCAGUUUUCCCUCCCGAGGACGCAAGGCGCAGAAGCCGCUGGGGAAGAGGACAGGCCAGAGUCUGCUGGGUUGACACGGGGUGAAAACGUAAUUGAAAAUCUUGAGCAAAAGUGGGAUUGUUUUUGCUUUGAGGGAAGCAGCGUCGGACGCUGUGGGAAGCCUGGCGCCCCAGGCCCUCCUCGAGUAUGGGGGAGAGAGAGGUCUUUGUGGUCUUGUGGUAUGUUUUUCAUACGUUCAGAAUCUGAUUUUCAUUAAAAUGGCAAGAUCAGUACCGUCAAAUUAGGAACGACUGUCCGCUAAUCUUUCAGAAGUUGUUGGAAGUUAUGCUCUCUGUGUGUUAAACGUUAUAUCUAGACUCGCAGUUCGUACGCUUGAUGUUCCACUCAGCUCUGGGCACGCUGGCUGUCCAUCUCCCGGAACUGCAUUUCCAGGUUAAACACAAAAUGCAGCCUGAACUCCUGGUCAGUCACGCGUUUCUAAAGAUAAAGGAAAGCAGCUUCUUGUAGGAAGGAGGUGGGCGUGGUGGGGCCUGCAGAGCGGGGGCAGCUUCUC